GGCUGAUUUCCUUCAGAAUGGAUAGGUUUGAUCUUCUUGCAGUCCAUGGGACUCUCAAGAGUCUCCUCCAGCACCAUAAUUCAAAAGCAUCAAUCCUUCGGCGAUCAGCCUUCUUUAUGGUCCAGCUCUCACUUCCAUACAUCACUACUGGGAAAACCAUAGCUUUUACUAUACGGACCUUUGUUGGCAAGGUGAUGUCUCUACUUUUUAAGAUGCUGUCUAGGUUUGUCAUUGCUUUCCUCCCAAGAAGCAGGCGUCUCUUAAUUUCGUGGCUGCUGUCACCAUCUGCAGUGAUCAUGGAGCCCAAGAAAGUAAAAUCUCUCACUGCCUCCAUUUCUUCCCCUUCUAUUUGCCAGGAGGCGAUGGGACCAGUGGCCAUGAUCUUCGUUUUUUUGAUGUUGAGCUUCAGACCAUAUUUUGCACUCUCCUCUUUCACCCUCAAUAAAAGGUUCUUUAAUUCCUCCUCACUUUCUGCCAUCAAGGUUGUGUCAUCUGCAUAUCUGAGGUUGUUGAUAUUUCUUCUAGCAAUCUUAAUUCCGGUUUGGGAUUCAUCCAGCCCAGCCUUUCGCAUGAUGAAUUCUGCAUAUAAGUUAAAUAAACAGGGAGACAAAAUACAGCCUUGUCGUACUCCUUUCCCAAUUUUGAACCAAUCAGUUGUUCCAUAUCCAGUUCUAACUGUAGCUUCUUGUCCCACAUAGAGAUUUCUCAGGAGACAGAUGAGGUGAUCAGGCACUCCCAUU